GGGAUAUUGGCUCAGUCGGUUAGAGCGUUGGUCUCAUAUUCUGCUAUGAUCUGAUUUAAAGUCAGAGCCAUCCAAAGGUCCUGAGUUCGAUUCUCAGAUGUCCCA